UGACACUUGCACCUGCGUCCAUGCUGUUGUGAGUCAUGGGGAAAAAUGGAGGAGCAAAAUGACCAAGUGGCAGGGUCUGUAAGAGUCUCUCACUGUAGGGAUGGGCUGCCCUGAGGAGACACUGCCCAGGCCUGGGUGCCCCGGGCCAAAGUCCUGACCCUUGCAGGGCUGUGUCCUGUGGAUGACAUGUGGCACUGGACUGCU
rnacentral:lncRNA from 1 species